UUUGUAUAGUAUCCUAAGGCAGGAGCUAAAUGACUUCAUAGGACUUAGUUAUCUGCAGCUGUGCAUCAUCACCCUCCAGACUGAGGCUGUUCGUUUUCCUUCACAUGUUAUACAAGAUUACUCAGACUAACUCUUUCAUACCACCUGGCACCUGAUCAGGCUCCCUAAAAAGACAGCUGUGGUAGCCAUAAAUGGACGCCAUAUGCCACGCAGUGAGGAGUCAGAAAUGCUGCUCAUGUGGCGUGGAAACCUUCAGGUUUGACGGAUGGAUGGGGUUAGGGUGAUUGUAAAAGGUGUGGUCGUCAAUGUCCUCACAGAGAAGAUGAAACUGCACACGUCCCAAAUGUUGAAAGGGCGACUUCUGUGCCAAACGUGAUGGGAAAAUGUACUCUUCAGAGGUCGCAUUGAGUUUGUAACAGCUUAUUGUGACACCAUUAAUAAACAUACUUUCAACUGA